rnacentral:misc_RNA from 1 species
UAAUAAGUGUUUUAUGGCACUUUUUAAAUCCAUAUCCACCUUGUGUGCAAUGUCAGUCGAUCUUCUUCAUGGAGAUCGACCAAACAUCAACCUUUAUCUUUUAACUCUCUUGUCUGAAAAAUAUUAUGAAUAAACAAUUCAAAAUA